UACGUAGGGUCCGAGCGUUGUCCGGAGUUACUGGGCGUAAAGCGCGCGCAGGCGGCCCGCGAGGUGUCACGUGAAAGCCCCGGGCUCAACUCGGGAGGGUCGUGGCAAACCGGCGGCUUGAGGCCGGUAGAGGUGGGUGGAACUCCUGGUGGAGUGGUGAAAUGCGUAGAGAUCAGGAAGAACACCCGUGGCGAAGGCGGUCCACUGGGACGGU
rnacentral:rRNA from 1 species